AGUUUAGUUUAGUUUAGUUUAGUUUAGUUUAGUUUAGUUUAGUUUUUUAAGACAGGGUCUCGCUCUGUCACCCAGGCUGGAGUGCAAUGGCAUGUUCAUGGCUCACUGCAACCUUGACGUCCCAGGUUCAAGCGAUUCUCUCACUUUUGUCUCCCAAGUAGCUGGAACUACAGGCAUGCACCACCAUGCCUGGCUAAUUUAAACAUUUUUUGUAGAGAAGGGGUUUACCAGUGUGGCCCACGCUGGUCUUGAACUCCUGGGCUCAAGCGAUCCUCCUGCUUUGGCCUCCCAAAUUGUUGGGAUUAUAGGCGUGAGCCACUGCACCUGGUCCCCCAGAAGCUAAAGGAUGGUGCAGGUUCUGUUUUUAAAUGUACCUGUUAAGUAUGUAUUAGCUCAAACAGAGUUUACCUGAGAUGUGCAUCUGGGGUCCACCCUCUUUGGCACUGUCCCUCAUUUUCCUCCUCCAACAUUCUCCCAAUCUCUCUCUGUUAACCCCAACAACCUGCCACCCCUCCCUAACAAAGGAUUCCCAGCUCAAGGCCAAUUCCAAUUGGAUCGAGUUUUUCUUCUGCAGAAAUUGUGGGGAGGUGGCUUCAGAGGCUCACAAGCAGAACCCCACCCAGACACAUAAACUUUUCUUUGGCUGGUACCAACUCCUCUAUUGCAGGGUAUGGUCCAAGUAGGUUAUACAAGUCUCUACCUCUUCUAGCUGAAGCCAACCUCCCAGGAAAAGGAUGAGAGGAGAAAGCCAUCCUGCCUGGUGUGUGGAUAAUACCACCACCAGAGUCUCCUGUAAUUUUGAUUCGAUGGCAUGCAGCUGCGUGACCUAAGGCACGUAUCUCCAUUCACAGGGUGUGGUCAGUACUCUGUGAAUAUCAGGUGUUCUGUCUGCCCUGUCUCCUGUCUUCCUGGAGCCUGCCCUUACCCAGUGAGUCCCUGGAGGGAACAUUCUGGCAUCUGGCUGUGAGCUGUCACAGACAUGGGUUUCUUUCGGUUCCCAGAAUGAUGGGAUGCCAGCCGCUGGCUGCCCCCAAGAAACUUGGGAGCAGGACAGGCUUGGCUGUCCCAGAGGAAGAGCCUGGCAUUGGGCCAGGAGGCUCAGGAGGGAAGAUGAGCUCAUUCUGCCCAGCUCGGUUCUCCCGUAUGCAGACCAGGUCAUCACAGGGACCUGCCUCCACAUUUGCAUCCCCCACGGCAUAUUUUCCCAGCACAUGCAGCAUUGGGAACUUGAACGUCCCUCUGCUUUUCCUUGGUGAGACCCACCAGCCCCGCCUUAGGAAGGAGGCUGAACAUUUGACGGAGCUUUCCUGUCACCUGUGAGCGACGUGCACGCUGCUUCCGAAGAAAGAGACAUCCCCCUACUGUUUUCUCACAGUGGGAUGAUUCAACUUUUUCUUUCUCACAAUCCCAGAUAAUCAUAUCUUCCCAGGUUUUGUCAUCUUUGAGGACUACUCACUAUCUAGUUAUGAGUCAAACAAAACCCAAUUUAACUGAUAACUAACCAGCCAUCACGUAUCCCUGAAGAUAAACCUGGUUUAUCCUUUUUAUACCCUCUGGCAGAGCAAAGGAACAAGGAGUUUGGGAGAGAAAAAAAAACACAACACUAGAAACAGCACUGACACAGGUCGUUAAAUACAGAUGUGACCAGCCUUGAUUACAAGUGUUGUCAUCCUCUUUUAACAGGGACCUACCCCGAACUUUCAUGAACCCCUGGUAGCUGAAUAGCAGCUUGUCUAAGCGAGGUGCAGGGAUUUUGUCAAAGUCGGCCUCGGUGUUAAAGGCAGGGCCACCUACCAUGAACUUCUCUCUGUGACUUUAUUCUUUAGCAGUGCUCAAGUGUAAAUAAACUUGUUUACCAGGAUCAGAAUGGCCAUGUUAAUGAAGUCUUAUUUGUGUCACCACAAUGACAAGUAAUUUGUGCACAGCUGGACUCGGAGAGGGGACAAAACCAGAGAAAUUGUAUUUCUGUUCUGAAGUUUCCAUACAGAUGCCUUAGGCCAAAGUUAGUACAGCCAAUAUUUGCCUGUUUCUUUGGAUUGUGUGUCCAUGCUGGAGAAAAGCCUUGUUACUGUGCCCAGUGUGGUAAACGAAAUUAUAUGUACGCAGUGAGAAGAAAAAUGAAAUAAGAAGCACUGAUGAAUGUACCCACGGGUGUGACCUUGGGGGCCAGUGUGUGGUUUUUAUGAAAUGAACGCAUGAAUACGAGGACCCUAAUUAUUGCUUUCAACGGACAAAGUAUGGUGAAUAUAUAGAGAACGUUGCUGUACAACACUGGCUGUGUCUCAAAGCGGCUUUAGAAGUAAAUAUAGAAAUUCUUUGGUACAUGGUAUUGCAUAGAAAAGUCAUUAAGAAAAAAGCAAGACAAUUUGUUAAGACCUUGUUAAGUGGAGCUGGGGGAUGAUUAAUUUUGUUUGUUUGUUUUUGUUGUUCCCUGGUAGAGCUCAACAAACUACAGACCACGGGCCAAAUCUGACCCACCGCUGCUUUUGUAAAUAAAACUUUAUUGGAAAAAAGCC
rnacentral:lncRNA from 10 species